rnacentral:lncRNA from 1 species
CAAGUUAUGUUCAAAUAUCAUAAAUCCAGUCAUUCUUCCAAAUACCAUAUGUCACCAAAUGCCACUUUAUUCUUAUACUAGUAACAUUUGAGCCAUAUUUAAUAUUAAGUUAUAAAACAGAGCAUUUGUUAAGCAAUGAUGGCUUUAAUACAACACAUUUGCAAUUUUUUCCACCACGAUCGCAACCUGCAAAUGUCUAACCAACAAACCAAAAGAAUGUAUCCAACCUCCUUGCCUAUAAGAAAAGGUAGUUGCUACCGAAGCAAAAAAGCAACACAA